rnacentral:rRNA from 1 species
GUCGAGGGGUAACAGAGGAGCUUGCUCUUGCUGACGACCGGCGCACGGGUGCGUAACGCGUAUACAAUCUGCCUUACACUAAGGGAUAGCCCAGAGAAAUUUGGAUUAACACCUUAUAGUUUAUUUUUAUGGCAUCAUUUAAAUAAUAAAGUUUACGGUGUAAGAUGAGUAUGCGUCCCAUUAGUUUGUUGGUAAGGUAACGGCUUACCAAGACUACGAUGGGUAGGGGCCCUGAGAGGGGGAUCCCCCACACUGGUACUGAGACACGGACCAGACUCCUACGGGAGGCAGCAGUGAGGAAUAUUGGACAAUGGAGGAGACUCUGAUCCAGCCAUGCCGCGUGCAGGAAGACGGUCCUAUGGAUUGUAAACUGCUUUUAUACAGGAAGAAUAAGGACUACGUGUAGUCUGGUGACGGUACUGUAAGAAUAAGGACCGGCUAACUCCGUGCCAGCAGCCGCGGUAAUACGGAGGGUCCGAGCGUUAUCCGGAAUUAUUGGGUUUAAAGGGUCCGUAGGCGGGCUGUUAAGUCAGGGGUGAAAGUUUGCAGCUCAACUGUAGAAUUGCCUUUGAUACUGAUGGUCUUGAAUUAUUGUGAAGUGGUUAGAAUAUGUAGUGUAGCGGUGAAAUGCAUAGAUAUUACAUAGAAUACCGAUUGCGAAGGCAGAUCACUAACAAUUGAUUGACGCUGAUGGACGAAAGCGUGGGUAGCGAACAGGAUUAGAUACCCUGGUAGUCCACGCCGUAAACGAUGGAUACUAGCUGUUUGGAUUUCGAUCUGAGCGGCCAAGCGAAAGUGAUAAGUAUCCCACCUGGGGAGUACGUUCGCAAGAAUGAAACUCAA